GAUGAACGCUGGCGGCGUGCCUAAUACAUGCAAGUCGAACGCGAGCAGCAAUGCUCGAGUGGCGAACGGGUGAGUAAUACAUAAGUAACCUGCCCUAGACAGGGGGAUAACUGCUGGAAACGGCAGCUAAGACCGCAUAGGUAUGGACACUGCAUGGUGACCAUAUUAAAAGUGCCAAGGCACUGGUAGAGGAUGGACUUAUGGCGCAUUAGCUGGUUGGUGAGGUAACGGCUCACCAAGGCGACGAUGCGUAGCCGACCUGAGAGGGUGACCGGCCACAUUGGGACUGAGACACGGCCCAA
rnacentral:rRNA from 1 species